CAGCUCCAUAAAAGCAACUGUACUAAUGCAUCAAGAUAAUAAUAAUUUUAUAAUUCUGGUUGAUCUUCUUAAAAAUACAGAGCAUCAUUGGUAGGACAGACUAUCUCAUAAGAUUUGAGGAAAAGUAAUGGAAAUGAACAAUUUAUUGGAAAUUGAACAUUCUUGGCAGGCAAUCUGAAUAUGUAGUUGAUGUUUAAUUAUGAAAAAUCAUUCUUAGAGUAUCCUCAGUUGCCAUAUUCAUAGUAGUAAAGCUUCUUAUUGUGUCCCUGCCAUCUAUUCUCUAGCUCACAGCCUAGAAGAUAGACAUUGUAAAAAGAAUGUAUAGUAUAGACAUUUAAUGCAGUUUAGAUUUUUGCUGUUGUUAUGGAACAAUAUACUUAAAUGAGAGAAUUUUAAGUUAGUGAUGAUGAUUUAGCAAGGGCAAUUAUUCUUUAUUGGAAAAUACUGUACGCAUUGUUCUCUUAUGAGCCAGUUGUACGAUUACAAGUAAGAACUAAACGGCAUGCCCUUGUGUAUUCCAUCUUUUAUCGCGGCAUGUUGUAAAAGAGGAAUAGCAAUCACAGAUGAUAACCGUGUCCCUUAUGUUUUUGAAGGAACUAAUAGCACCCUUUGGAGUUGCUAAUUGGCAAAAAUCUGCAACCACAGGCCUUCAAGGUAAUUGGAGCUCAACAUCCUUCAGAAAUUGCUUAAGCACUAUUAAGGACGAGCAUGUCAAAAGGGAUGAUGUGAUGAAAAGAGCAAAGACUUUGAUGACAAGACCCACACUUCUGCCCUUGCUCCUUUGCUAAUGGACAUUCAGUUCUGACAAGUCAUUUAACCUUCAAGCUUGUCUAGAAACGAUCACAAUAUUGGUGAUCUUUUUAACUUUCUUAUAUGAUAAUAUAGCUCUAUAAAUAUAACUACUUGUGAAUUAAUUUUUGACUUCUAAUAAACUUAUUUUUUUGCUCA
rnacentral:lncRNA from 1 species